AACGAACGCUGGCGGCGUGUUUAAGACAUGCAAGUCGCACGGGAUAAGACAUGUAGUAAUACUUGUUUUAUUUAGUGGCGCACGGGUGAGUAACACGUGAAUUACAUGCCCUAUAGUGGGGAAUAGCCCAGGGAAACUUGGAUUAAUACCCCCUGGUAUCGAAAGAUUAAAGGUGGCCGCAAGGCUGUCGCUAUAGGGUUGGUUCGCGCCCUAUCAGCUUGUGGGUGAGGUAACGGCUCACCAAGGCAAUGACGGGUACCUGGGCUGAGAGGACGAUCAGGCACACUGGAACUGAGACACGGUCCAGACACCUACGGGUGGCAGCGGUCGAGAAUAAUUCACAAUGGGGGCAACCCUGAUGGUGCAACGCCGCGUGGAGGAUGACGGUCUUCGGAUUGUAAACUCCUGUCAUCUGGGAGAAAGACCUGACGGUAAGUAGCCGGCAGGGUUGAUAGUACCAGAAGAGGAAGGGACGGCUAACUUCGUGCCAGCAGCCGCCGUAA
rnacentral:rRNA from 1 species